rnacentral:lncRNA from 10 species
UUUUAUUUCUUCAGUACCCUUUACUGUAAUUACAGGGACUUGCCCAAAGUGCCUGUAGUAGAGCCAUAGCAUUCCUUUUGAUCUUUAUUCCCUUUAGAAUAUCCCUUGCCUUGUUUUUGCAAAUCAAAUCUUACCUAUCCUUCAUGUCAGAGUGUGCAUGCCAAACUUUCUCCAGUCAUUACAAUUGAAAGUAAUAAUUAUAAUUUCUGAGGCUUCAUAGUACCUUAUGUGUAACUUGCUUAUGACAAUUCCUAUCAUCAUUGUAUUUGCAAAGAGUUAUUUGCUUUUCUCUUGGGAUAUAAAUUUAUGGAAGCAAAGAGCUGCCUAUUCAUAAUUCUAGCAUGGGGCCUUGAACAUCACUGGAUCUCAAUAAUUACGAUUCCAAGGAACAAAACUUGCCUUUACUGGAAAUAAAGAAUUCAUUAUCUCUCAGCAAGUGAGAGAUCGGGGAAGUAGUACUGACUGCUCCAGUUAAAUAUCUAAUAUUCGCAUGCUGAUUACAAUUUACGUAAUUCUUCCACUUCCUGAAAGACACAGAAGGGUCUAUGUACAUAGAGCUCAUAACUGGCAGACUUCUAAGUUCAGAAGUGUUUCCACAUUUGACUUUCUCCAUUAAUGUAUGUAAAUAUUAAUGGUG